AGCGCAUAGCUCUGCAGAGAGAGCUCCGAGCUGCUCGGUUUCCACACCGCGGCCCUCUUUCUCUAAACUUUAAAGAACCACUUUCAAUAAUAAUCUCAAAUUUGAGAUUGAGGUGGAUUAUAAAAAGGGGAAUAUCUCCAGGAAACAACCGGGAUCUGACUGGCUGCCUUUGCUCAGACUAUGAAAAGGAGGAGUUUUUGGUGCUGGAUGGAGACCCCCGACUCCGCUGACCGCAACACUUCCAGGUCAGGCGACCAAAAAAAAAAAAAUAUGACAAGCACGUCACCAACUCCUGUGUGCAGCGAAUGCAUUGCAAAAAAAUCUGCUGACCAAUGUCCACAGUGACAAAUGUCCACUGUACUGAUUUUUAUUGCUGUCAUUGCUAAUUAAUCAAGGCGAUUGUGAUUGCAAAUGUCUUUUUGAAAACAGCUUUCUUCCCUUUUUUUUGCUGUUACUUCAUGACUGUAUGUGAUUGUAAAUGAGCAUGCUUGUAUUAUUGAUUACACAAAAUGAAGAUCAAUUUAAAAAUGUUUAAAACAGCAGCUCAGUGCUGAAGCAGGACACUCCCGUUGAGAAGCCUGUGCGAUUUAUCUCCUCUAUCUGCAUGCUGUCAGGCUGCUGGCCUCGUCCUCCUCAGCACAUGACCGGCUGUUUGUGACCUUAGUGCUAAAUCAAGUUCAAAGAGGACCACUGGUGUUUGGCAGAUAGUUUUACAUGAGGGGCAGGGGCAGAACCAUUUGUUUGGUCAACCUCUGGCUCCCUCUUUGAUUCGCAGCUAUCUGUGACCCCCGUGGCGGAGCGGCACCACUUAAGGCUCUUCAUUCAGGCACAACGCUCACUGAUAAAAUCAGCACCGGAACUCACUUCACUUUACUUUCAGCCGCUGAUUUUCCAGCUGUAGUAUUUACUGAAUGUUCACAUGUAGCGACUUUCAAAAGUAUUCAUACCCUUUCAUAAGUACAUCCAGGCAUUUCAAUGUAUUUCACUCUGACUCUGUGUUAUAGAUCGAGAACCUGUGCAUAAUUUUACUUACCCAACAAACUCCAGCUGUGUGUAAUUUGAUUUCCGUACGAAUACAGUUGCUCUGCGAAGGCCCCAGAUGUUUGUUAGGGACCAUCAGCAACAGCAUCAAGAAGACCGAAGAAACACAACAUAUCAGGGAUAGAGUUGAGGAGAAGUUUAACACAUGAUUGGUUAGAUUUAAACACAAUAUCUCUUGUAUUGAACAACACAGACAGCUCUGCCGUAAGUGACGGGCUGGCUGGGAUGCACUUCUGCCCUGAUCAGCAGGGUCAGAAAAGCUGGACAGAGUUUAUGUGAAAAAACAGGCAGAUAAUGAUUUGACACUAGGGUGGAGAUUAACCUUCACACACAACACGUAACCAAAACAUACAGCCGGAAUAUAAUCAAGUGGUUUAGAUAUAAAAGCAUUUUUUUUUUUUUUAGAAAGAAAGUGCGGACCCAACUGAUAAAGAAUAUACUUGAAAACCUAGCUGAUGCUACAUUGCCCUACAUCCAACCUGAUGGAGCUUGAGAUUGAACUGAAGUUUCAGUUUCUAGAUGGGCAAAAAAAUCUUACAGCUGUAAUUGCAGCAAAAAGCUAUUUUUAAAAAAGUAUUCACUUGAGCGCAAAUAUACUUCCAUCACAUCUUUUAUGUAACAAAAAUUCAGAAUUCUUCCAUUUCACAGCUAACUUUGCGUUGGUCUGUCACAUAAUCCAAAUAACCCGCAUUGACAUUCGUGUUUUCUGACAUACCAGCAUUUAUUAAAGUUCGGAGGUAUGAAUAGUUUUGAAGGCACUGUGUGAAGACCUCAAGGCUUCAAUAACCACAUCACUUUUAGGCUUAUGCCAGAUUAGGUUGGUUGAUAUUUAUAAAGUGUAUGAAAGAACAAAAUUAAACAUGUGUUCCUGCACCAAA